rnacentral:rRNA from 1 species
AUACGGAGGGGGUUAGCGUUGUUCGGAAUUACUGGGCGUAAAGCGUACGUAGGCGGACUGGAAAGUUGGGGGUGAAAUCCCGGGGCUCAACCCCGGAACUGCCUCCAAAACUUCCAAUCUAGAGAUCGAGAGAGGUGAGUGGAAUUCCAAGUGUAGAGGUGAAAUUCGUAGAUAUUUGGAGGAACACCAGUGGCGAAGGCGGCUCACUGGCUCGAUACUGACGCUGAGGUACGAAAGCGUGGGGAGCAAACGGGAUUAGAUACCCGAGUAGUCC